rnacentral:ncRNA from 1 species
AAUAAUCUGCCACCGGGUAGAAAUGCACGAAGCAUUUGCUUGUAUAUCGUUAGGUCUUUGAAGAUAUACAAAGUAAAUGCUUAUUUUUU